GGCUCGUUGGUUUAGUGGUAUGAUUCUCGCUUUGGGUGUGAGAGGCCCCGGGUUCAAAUCCCGGACGAGCCC
rnacentral:tRNA from 1 species